GAGUUUGAAUAGUUCUAACUUUUUCCUUGCACGGCGGUCCUUACUUUUCUGUGAUUUCUUGUAUGUUUUAGCUUUAAGUACUUUAUUAUGACUUUUGCUUAUCUCAUCAUCUAUUUUUCCUUUUGCAGUGACAGCACAUCCAAGCCCUGAUCGAAGAUUGCGAAUUGACUUUACCGGACUCUGGCAGUUGACGCUAUGAACAGCACUGUGAGCUCUACCUUGGAAGUUACGAGCAAAGGUGGUAUCGCGAGCUUUCUGCAUCCCUGAAUGGGAUGGUGGAGGUAUAUCGGCACUCAUGCACAGGACACGGAAACUCUCACUUCCAAUGGGACAUUUUGAGAGGCCUAUCUGAAGUCCAGUAUUGGCAGUGGAAGAUCGACGUCCCCUUCUCAUUCCACUACCCUCUACCUCCUUGUACAGUUUAUGGUACCCGACAGGGAACUCUUAUCCUCCUCAGGGGUGUUUUCCUUCCUUGGCCUUAACAGACGGUACGGUUCACUUGUCAGUGUUUGAACUUGCUGGACACCAGCCACCCCUACACUGCACACUUUCUUGUGGAGCUCAGUUGUCAACCUGACAGUUUUUGGCACUUUAAAGUUGCUUUGCUUUUCACUGGUGAAUUUUUUGCCUGAAUUCCAAGCUUUAUGUCCCAUUCUAAAAGAUGUUAUCGAAUUCCUUCGAUGUCUCCCCAUGUUUCAAGAGUAGGUUCAAGAUGUUGACACUAUGAAUUUUUCUUUGGAAUGAAAGCAUCAACAUUGGUUCUUGACCUCCCAUAGUUAAAAUACCAAAUAUGGACCUGUCAUUUAUAUAUUGGCCUAUGUAAACAAGGCAGGGGUACCAGUUCCAGCAAGCUCACUGAGUCCAGCUUCUUUUAUGACUUAAGCUUAUUAGUGUCACAACCAAAUUCCAUGUUAUGUACCAGACUUUGCUAUCCUCAGUUGUUAUCAGCAAAGGUCAGCAAACAACUCACCAUUAAUAAAUUAAAAAUAUGAAAGCCUAAUUUGUUUUGAAUUUCCAAGUAUUGUCUAUCA